rnacentral:rRNA from 1 species
CAGCAGCCACGGGAAUACAGAGGGUGCGAGCGUUAAUCGGAUUUACUGGGCGUAAAGCGUGCGUAGGCGGCUUCUUAAGUCGGAUGUGAAAUCCCUGAGCUUAACUUAGGAAUUGCAUUCGAUACUGGGAAGCUAGAGUAUGGGAGAGGAUGGUAGAAUUCCAGGUGUAGCGGUGAAAUGCGUAGAGAUCUGGAGGAAUACCGAUGGCGAAGGCAGCCAUCUGGCCUAAUACUGACGCUGAGGUACGAAAGCAUGGGGAGCAAACAGGAUUAGAUACCCCAGUAGUCCAUGUCUCUUAUAC